AGAGUUUGAUCAUGGCUCAGGAUGAACGCUAGCGGCAGGCCUAAUACAUGCAAGUCGAGGGGCAGCACAGGUAGCAAUACUGGGUGGCGACCGGCAAACGGGUGCGGAACACGUACGCAACCUUCCUUCAAAAGUGGGAUAGCCCAGGGAAACUUGGAUUAAUACCACGUAAGAUAGUAGAGUGGCAUCACUCAGCUAUU
rnacentral:rRNA from 1 species